rnacentral:tRNA from 1 species
GGAUGUGGCUCAGCGGUUGAGCACUCGCCUAGCACGUGCGAGGUGCUGGGUUCAAUCCUCAGCACCA